GCGUAGCUGCGAGGUUUGUAUAGGCAAAGAUGCCCUGGGGCCUAACUCUAUCCAUUGGGAGCUGUCCCUGCUGAGUCCGUGGACUUGGUAUUUACGGCGCCCACCUGCUUAAGCAGGCCACAGUGGAAUCUUAGAGCUAACGGCUUUUGCGGCACGUU
rnacentral:other from 1 species